GGAUGAAGAGAUAGAUGGACAGAGGAAGAGGGGGAGGGGGUGGAAGUGCACAAAAAAAUAAACAUGCGAGUCCAGUUCCCUGUAAACAAAAUAACACACCAAUUAGGUGCCAUUGCCAUCCAGGCAGAGAUGAGUUUCUCCCAUCACUCUCUCUUUCUCCCUCCCUCUUUUCCUUUUAUUUGUCUUUCCCUCUAGGCAUCUCCUCUCAUUCUCGGUUCGCCUCUUGCCUCAGCAGCACUCUGUGUCCAUUGCUUCUAACCCAGUGAGCACUCUGGCAUCGCACUGCAGCCACUGGCAAUGCAUGCUGCAUGUGUGUUAGUGUGUUUGGAAGAUGGAUGUAUGGAGCCUGGGUGAACUCUGCCCCACAUACUACACUACCCAUCCCGCCUCCUCCUCCUCGACCACUCUCUACUCUCCGCGAGGCCCUGGGUCCCUGUGAGCUCCACCAUAUGAGCUCCAUUAGACGCCAUGACCUUCUGCACUUGCCGCCCUAAUCCUGAGUAGAGCAUGAACAGUGGGUCUCUGCGUCCUCCGCCCAGCACCGCUGCAGCCACAUGGCACAGUGCCCUGCUUUGCUGCUCCAUUACCACAGAAAGGCUCAGCAGCCCCAGUUAAUCCCUCAUCUGUCUCCUUCCCCUUUGGCUGACAUCUUGGAUAAUAUACCUAUUGUACAUUUUUAUCACAAUACAAACACUUGUCUGAUGUUUGAUGCUGCCAAUGCAGGAUGCAGGAAUUUGUACGAAAGCUGAAAAUCUACAAUCAUAGAUGCUGCGCUGGACAAAAAAACAAAUAAAUAAUGUAAUAACUAAAUUACUUCCCUGCUGCAGAGGAUAGAAGGGCUGUUUUCUUGCUAAAUGCUAAUUAAGUUUCCUACAGUCUCUAAGCUUGUUAUUUAAUGGUAAUCACGUCUUUUGUAUGAGCAACAUUACAACACAAGUGUAACAAAUCUAAUUUCCACGACACAGGAGGGUUUUUAGUGUUGCUCUCUUUACAAGCUUCAUUAGGACACUCUUAACUGCUUAAGCACAAUCAAGACAGAGCACAAGAAAACAGGAAUAUAAAAACCACCUGACUGACAAAUAGCUCAGGCACAAAAAUAAUAACUCUAAAGUAACCAUUGAUUACUCUCUCACACAAUUCAUAUCCAUAAUGUACAGGAUAUCCUGCCUGCUAACUAAUGGAGGAAGCAGUAUGAUGGACAGCAGUGGAAAUGCUGCAGUUGAAUAGAGUGUAUUGGAUCCAAGUGUUUGGAUUAAAGGGAGUUAACCCGA